rnacentral:rRNA from 1 species
UAAGGAAUAUUGGUCAAUGGACGCAAGUCUGAACCAGCCAUGCCGCGUGAAGGAAGACGGCCCUACGGGUUGUAAACUUCUUUUGUACGGGAAAGAACCACCGGUCGUGAAUCGGUGCUGAUGGUACCGUAAGAAUAAGCAUCGGCUAACUCCGUGCCAGCAGCCGCGGUAAUACGGAGGAUGCAAGCGUUAUCCGGAUUCAUUGGGUUUAAAGGGUGCGCAGGCGGAAUGAUAAGUCAGUGGUGAAAUCCUACGGCUCAACUGUAGAACUGCCAUUGAUACUGUUGUUCUUGAGUACACUUGGAGUGGGCGGAAUGUGUCAUGUAGCGGUGAAAUGCUUAGAUAUGACACAGAACACCGAUCGCGAAGGCAGCUCACUAAGUUGUAACUGACGCUCAG